UACGGGGGGGGCAAGCGUUGUUCGGAAUUACUGGGCGUAAAGGGCCCGUCGGCGGCCAACUAAGUCGGACGUGAAAUCCCUCGGCUUAACCGGGGAACUGCGUCCGAUACUGGAUGGCUUGAGUUUGGGAGAGGGAUGCGGAAUUCCAGGUGUAGCGGUGAAAUGCGUAGAUAUCUGGAGGAACACCGGUGGCGAAGGCGGCAUCCUGGACCAACACUGACGCUGAUGAGCGAAAGCCAGGGGAGCAAACGGG
rnacentral:rRNA from 1 species